rnacentral:lncRNA from 1 species
CCCGACUGGGCGUCCUGGCCCCGCACUGCGCCGUCCUUCAGCCAGCUGACAACGAUGGGCCGCGGGUAGAAGCCGUGAGCGCGGCAGGACAAGGUCAGGAUCCCGUCGGCCUCCUUCCCCCACACUCGCACCUCGGGCCGCUCUCUCCUGCCCAGCUCAGCCUUCCCGUAUUCCACGUAUCUCCGCAGCCACUCCACGCAGGUUUCCUCCAGGUAACUCUUCCACCCCUCAGCAACACCUCCUUCCUCCCAUUUCCUCUUGGUGGGAACUGCCUCUGGAACUGCCGCAGUGAACGUCUUCAUGUCUUUGUC